UGGGGAAUAUUGCGCAAUGGGGGCAACCCUGACGCAGCCAUGCCGCGUGAGUGAAGAAGGCCUUCGGGUUGUAAAGCUCUUUCGGGUGUGAAGAUGAUGACGGUAACACCAGAAGAAGCCCCGGCUAACUUCGUGCCAGCAGCCGCGGUAAUACGAAGGGGGCAAGCGUUGUUCGGAAUCACUGGGCGUAAAGAGCGCGUAGGCGGUUAGAUCAGUCAGAGGUGAAAGCCCAGGGCUCAACCCUGGAAAUGCCUUUGAUACUGUCUAGCUUGAAUCCGUGAGAGGGUGGUGGAAUUCCCAGUGUAGAGGUGAAAUUCGUAGAUAUUGGGAGGAACACCAGUGGCGAAGGCGGCCACCUGGCGCGGUAUUGACGCUGAGGCGCGAAAGCGUGGGGAGCAAA
rnacentral:rRNA from 1 species